CAGGCUGCAAGGAGAGAGGGCCGUGUAACAGGGAUGUGUAUUCAAACUCGAAUUAGGCUUCCAAAGGCACCAAAUCCUGGUACUGACUGUUUCUUGACCGGCCCUGGACAGUUGGACUCGGGGAGCGUGAGUCAUCUGCUACCUGAAACAUCAGAGAAGGCUUAACAGGAUUAGAAUGCAGAACAGAGAAGAAUUCGGGACUCGAGAGGAACUUUGCACCAGGAGACUGAAGCAGCAAAGCCAGACGAGAACGUGAGCUGGUGUGACCCAUGAAGCUGUCCCUACGAUAUUCUGC